rnacentral:rRNA from 1 species
AUUUAAGCAGGCAGAUAUUUCAUACUGCCACCGAAUACAUUAGCAUGGGAUAAUGGAAUAGGACCCUGUCCUUCAUGUUUCGCGUUGGUUGUGCCACGUGCGUGUGCUUCGCGGUGUGCGCGCGUGGCAUGGUUUCGUCUAAAGGAGGACCAGGGUAAUGAUUAAUAGGGAUAGUUGGGGGCAUUAAUAUUUAAUUGUCAGAGGUGAAAUUCUUGGAUUUAUGAAAGAUUAACUUCUGCGAAAGCAUCUGCCAAGGAUGUUUUCAUUAAUCAAGAACGAAAGUUAGGGGAUCGAAGACAAUUAGAUACCGUCGUAGUCUUAACCAUAAACCAUGCCGACCAGCGAUUGGGAGACGUUUCACACGGGGGUGGUCCCCAUGGGGAGAGUGCGUGGGGGUGGCCGCUUCUUGCGGUGGCCUCCUCGCCUUUCCCUUUGGGGGGCUGCUCCCACUAAAGGAUGACUCCCCUAGCAGCUUGUGAAAAA